GGAGUGGCGCAACGGUAGCGCACCUGUCUUGUAAACAGUCCCAGCGUCGCAGGUCAGGGGCGGAUCGCGGUUCCACGCAGGGGCAGGACCACCCCAGCGUUCCCCACGGUUCCCGCCGGAUCCU
rnacentral:tRNA from 1 species